rnacentral:rRNA from 1 species
UACGAAGGGGGCUAGCGUUGCUCGGAAUCACUGGGCGUAAAGCGCACGUAGGCGGAUUGUUAAGUCAGGGGUGAAAUCCUGGAGCUCAACUCCAGAACUGCCUUUGAUACUGGCGAUCUUGAGUCCGGGAGAGGUGGGUGGAACUGCGAGUGUAGAGGUGAAAUUCGUAGAUAUUCGCAAGAACACCAGUGGCGAAGGCGGCUCACUGGCCCGAUACUGACGCUGAGGCACGAAAGCGUGGGGAGCAAACAGGG